rnacentral:rRNA from 1 species
GAUGAACGCUGGCGGCGUGCCUAAUACAUGCAAGUCGAGCGAACGGACGAGAAGCUUGCUUCUCUGAUGUUAGCGGCGGACGGGUGAGUAACACGUGGAUAACCUACCUAUAAGACUGGGAUAACUUCGGGAAACCGGAGCUAAUACCGGAUAAUAUUUUGAACCGCAUGGUUCAAAAGUGAAAGACGGUCUUGCUGUCACUUAUAGAUGGAUCCGCGCUGCAUUAGCUAGUUGGUAAGGUAACGGCUUACCAAGGCAACGAUGCAUAGCCGACCUGAGAGGGUGAUCGGCCACACUGGAACUGAGACACGGUCCAGACUCCUACGGGAGGCAGCAGUAGGGAAUCUUCCGCAAUGGGCGAAAGCCUGACGGAGCAACGCCGCGUGAGUGAUGAAGGUCUUCGGAUCGUAAAACUCUGUUAUUAGGGAAGAACAUAUGUGUAAUUAACUGUGCACAUCUUGACGGUACCUAAUCAGAAAGCCACGGCUAACUACGUG